UUUCUUUCUGUCAGCACAACAGCUACUAAGUUUUGUAUUGCAUUGAAACUAUCACAAGAGACAAUGUUUUCUUACUGUUUGCAGAUAUUCAAGGAUUUAACAUUAUGGAAAUGUUCAGCAGAUGAUCUUUUGUAAGUGAAAAGAAUAAAUUUUUAUAAGAGCAAUCAAUGUGGGACCAAUACAAGGUGUGUGAUUUAUCCAUGUUCCAACCUUUUCUGCUGACAAAGAUGGUUCAGAACAAUGUAGCCGUCAUCUGUUUGACAGAUAAGCUGGAUUAUCUCUAGAUCAGCUGGCUCAAACUAAAUUUGUUGUGUCAUCCCUACUAGUGUAGAGUUUCUAUUGGACCGAAGAUUACUAGUGUCCACAAGCAUAACCAGUCAAUCCUAAGAAAUCUUAGUUCUAUAGAGGAGAAACAACUAAAUUAUAAGUAUUCUUUUUGAAAUCAAUGUAUAUCUCUUAUUUAAAAUUAUCUAGCUCUGCUUCUCUAUAUUUCCCUUCACCUUUUCUGGUGCUAAUGUGCUUUUAUUGCAGGAUUUAGAGGACAAAACUAAUUAUAUGGACAGAUUAUAACAGGUUUUAUAUCGGAAAUAAUCUUGAAACGUGCAAGGGAAAUCUUUACAUUUUUCUAGAAGCCAUAUCCAUAAAAGCUGCGAAAGCCGUCAAGCUGAUGUACCAAACUAGCUAUAGAAUUUUUAGAUAGAUUUUGACAUAGAAUUUCCAUUUUAUUUUCAAAUUGGUUUUAAC
rnacentral:lncRNA from 1 species